rnacentral:rRNA from 1 species
AUUGAACGCUAGCGGGAUGCUUUACACAUGCAAGUCGAACGAGUGGCGGACGGGUGAGUAAUAUAUCUGAACGUGCCCAGUAGCGGGGGAUAACUACUCGAAAGUGUGGCUAAUCCCGCAUACUAUCGGAGCGGCCGAUAUCGGAUUAGGUAGUUGGUGGGGUAAAGUCUCACAAAGACAACGACCCGUAGCUGGUUUGAGAGGACGACCAGCCACACUGGGACGGAGACGCUGCCCAGGCUCCUACGGGAGGAAGCAUGGGGAAAUUUGGGACAAUGGGGGAAACCCUGAGCCAGCCAGCCGGCGGGUAUGAGAAGGCCUUCGGGUGGAAAAGUACUUUUGGCAGAGAAGGGGGAUCGGCAGAGAAGGCACCGGCUAACUACGUGCAAGCAGCCGCGGUAAUA